UACGUAGGGUGCGAGCGUUAAUCGGAAUUACUGGGCGUAAAGCGUGCGCAGGCGGUUCGUUGUGUCGGUGGUGAAAGCCCCGGGCUUAACCUGGGAAUGGCCAUGGAAACUGGCGAACUGGAGUGUGGCAGAGGGGGGUGGAAUUCCGCGUGUAGCAGUGAAAUGCGUAGAGAUGCGGAGGAACACCGAUGGCGAAGGCAGCCCCCUGGGCUAGCACUGACGCUCAGGCACGAAAAGCGUGGGGAGCAAACAGG
rnacentral:rRNA from 1 species